GACGAACGCUGGCGGCGUGCUUAACACAUGCCAGUCGAACGGAAAGGCCCUGCUUUUGUGGGGUGCUCGAGUGGCGAACGGGUGAGUAACACGUGAGUAACCUGCCCUUGACUUUGGGAUAACUUCAGGAAACUGGGGCUAAUACCGGAUAGGAGCUCCUGCUGCAUGGUGGGGGUUGGAAAGUUUCGGCGGUUGGGGAUGGACUCGCGGCUUAUCAGCUUGUUGGUGGGGUAGUGGCUUACCAAGGCUUUGACGGGUAGCCGGCCUGAGAGGUGACCGGCCACAUUGGGACUGAGAUACGGCCCAGACUCCUACGGGAGGCAGCAGUGGGGAAUAUUGCACAAUGGGCGGAAGCCUGAUGCAGCAACGCCGCGUGCGGGAUGACGGCCUUCGGGUUGUAAACCGCUUUCGCCUGUGACGAAGCGUGAGUGACGGUAAUGGGUAAAGAAGCACCGGCUAACUACGUG
rnacentral:rRNA from 1 species